UAAGGCCUAUGAUGAUUCAAAUUUUGCCUACAUUGUCUGAUAAACCAAUGAUAUAACUUUUACAAAAUGUAAUUUCUGAGGCCUUU
rnacentral:snoRNA from 1 species